rnacentral:rRNA from 1 species
CCUACGGGGGACAGCAGUGAGGAAUAUUGGUCAAUGGGCGAGAGCCUGAACCAGCCAAGUAGCGUGAAGGAUGACUGCCCUACGGGUUGUAAACUUCUUUUAUAAAGGAAUAAAGUGAGGCACGUGUGCCUUUUUGUAGGUACUUUAUGAAUAAGGAUCGGCUAAAGCCGUGCCAGCAGCCGCGGGAAUACGGAGGGUCCGGGCGUUAUCCGGAUUUAUUGGGUUUAAAGGGAGCGGAGAGGGGUUGUUAAGUUAGUUGGGAAAGUUUGCGGCUCAAACGUCAAAUUGCCAUUGAUACUGGCAGCCUUGAGUACAGUUGAGGUAGGCGGAAUUCGUGGUGUAGCGGUGAAAUGCUUAGAUAUCACGAAGAACUCCGAUUGCGAAGGCAGCUUACUAACCUGCCACUGACAUUGAUGCUCGAAAGUGUGGGUAUCAAACAGGAUUAGAUACCCUAGUAGUC